rnacentral:rRNA from 1 species
UACGUAGGGGGCUAGCGUUGUCCGGAAUCAUUGGGCGUAAAGAGCGUGUAGGCGGUCCGGUAAGUCCGCUGUGAAAGUCGGGGGCUCAACCCUCGAAUGCCGGUGGAUACUGUCGGGCUAGAGUGCGGAAGAGGCGAGUGGAAUUCCUGGUGUAGCGGUGAAAUGCGCAGAUAUCGGGAGGAACACCAAUGGCGAAGGCAGCUUGCUGGGACGGUACUGACGCUGAGACGCGAAAGCGUGGGGAGCAAACAGG